rnacentral:rRNA from 1 species
AUUGAACGCUGGCGGCAGGCCUUACACAUGCAAGUCGAGCGAGCGGCGGACGGGUGAGUAAUGUAUCGGGAUCUGCCCGAUAGAGGGGGAUAACUACUUGAAACGGUUGCUAAUCCCGCAUACUAUCGGAUUCCCCCAUAUGGGAUUAGCUAGUAGGUGGGGUAAAGGCUCACCUAGGCGACGAUCUCUAGCUGGUCUGAGAGGAUGAUCAGCCACACUGGGACUGGGACACGGCCCAGACUCCGACGGGAGGCAGCAGUGGGGAAUAUUGGACAAUGGGCGCAAGCCUGAUGCAGCCAUGCCGCGUGUAUGAAGAAGGCCUUCGGGUUGUAAAGUACUUUCAGCGGGGAGGCGUUACCCGCAGAAGAAGCACCGGCUAACUCCGUGCCAGCAGCCGCGGUAAUAC